AUGCAAAGAACUUUGAAAAGAGAGUUAAAGAGUACCUGAAAUUGCUGAAAGGGAAGCGAAGGAAACCAGUGUGAGUUGCGUCAUAUUUCCCCAGUCGCUUGCGGUUGGGGCGCUGUGGCCAGCGUUGUCACUUUUGGUGGGUCGCAUCGGAUGCUUUUGGCAGGGGAGUUUAUACCCUGUCUCUUUGCGUUGCGUUUGACUGAGAGUGUCGAAAUGGUUUUCUUUUCCCCGUCUAGAAACACGGACCAAGGAGUCUAACAUAUGUGCGAGUACAGGGGUGUCAAUCUCUUGUGCGCAAUGAAAGUGACAGUGGCUGGAACGUUUUGUUGCACAGUCCGCCGGCCAUAAUCCCUCGGGAGAACGGUCUGAGUGUGAGCAUACAUGUUGGGACCCGAAAGAUGGUGAACUAUGCCUGAAUAGGGUGAAGCCAGGGGAAACUCUGGUGGAGGCUCGUAGCGAUUCUGACGUGCAAAUCGAUCGUCAAAUUUGGGUAUAGGGGCGAAAGACUAAUCGAACUAUCUAGUAGCUGGUUCCCUCCGAAAUUUCCCUCAGGAUAGCUGCGAUCGAAAUUAUUGAAACCAAUUUUAUCA
rnacentral:rRNA from 1 species